UAUUUCCUCAUUGAUGCAUAUAUAGAUAAUGCCGUCUUGAGCAUGCAUUCAUAACAUUUAUUUUAGUCUGAAUAGCAAACUAUCACAUAACUUCCUAUCACAGAUUGAAUAUCAUCCAAUUUUGAUAUGGUAGGAUGCAAGACAGUGUUCUUACUGGGAUUGAUUAAUUUUACUUGGGAUCAAAAUGAUUGUGUGCAUGGUUGUUGCUUUGGUUUCGUGUGGGAAGAAGAGCUGAAUAAAUGCAUCCCCUGUACCCGUGGAUAUGUUGGAGAAAAUUGCACGAAGGCAUGUCCUUUUCCAUAUUUUGGAGAUAAAUGUAUUAACGAGUGUAGCUGUUCUUUACAAGAGUGUAAUCACAUAUACGGCUGUAAAUAAGAGCGUGAAG